GUGCUAGAAUUCGGAUCGACUUAAGGUCGCCGGAACCCGUAGCAAGCCUAACAUACAUCCUGUUAUACCUAAUGAAAUCUCAUACAUGAUCAUACAUUUUCAUAAAAACUUAAACUUUUCAUAUACCAAGCUUGACCUGUGCAUGCAUCAUAACUGUAAACAUAAAAACCCCAUACUAGAGCCCUCAUCAAAUGCUCUAGU
rnacentral:lncRNA from 1 species